UUUGAUCAAGCGAAAGAAAGUAUGUGGGGGAUGCCUAGGUACACAGAGGCGAUGAAGGCCGUGGUAAGCUGCGAUAAGCCAGGGGGAGCUGCACACAAGCUACGAUCCCUGGAUGGCCGAAUGGGGAAACCCGGCUGUCAGUGAUGGCAGUCACACUCUACGGAGUGAGCAAACCGAGGGAACUGAAACAUCUAAGUACCUCGAGGAAAGAGAAAUCAACCGAGAUGCCCUAAGUAGCGGCGAGCGAAAGGGGCCCAAGCCCAAACCGUUGCUCUUGUAGCAACGGGGUUGUAGGACCUACGGACGCUUCGUCCAAGUGUUAGCGGAAUUCUCCUGGAAUGGAGAGCCAUAGACGGUGAUAGCCCGGUACGCAUAAACCAAAGGAUGAAGUAGUAGUGUUCCUGAGUAACGCCCGAGUUCCGAGGAAUCGGGCGUGAAACCGGGGGGACCACCCUCCAAGGCUAAAGACUCCUGUGUGACCGAUAGUGAACGAGUACCGUGAGGGAAAGGUGAAAAGUACCCCAGUGCGGGGAGUGAAAUAGUUUCUGAAACCACAUACUUACAAGCGGUAGGAGGCUGGGUGUGAUCUUCGGAUUGCAUCACGGCUGACUGCGUGCCUUUUGCAUUAUGAUCCGGCGAGUUACUCCUCAGCAGCGUAGGCUAAGCGGUUAGGCCGCGGAGCCACAGCGAAAGCGAGUCCUGUAACGAGGGCGAUUUAGUUGCUGGGGGUAGACCCGAAGCCAGGGCGAUCUACCCAUGUGCAGGGUGAAGCGCGGGUAACACCGCGUGGAGGCCCGAACCGGUACGGGUUGAAAACCGUUCGGAUGACGUGUGGGUAGGGGUGAAAGGCCAAUCAAGCCUGGAGAUAGCUGGUUCUCCCCGAAAUCUAUUGAGGUAGAGCCUCAGGAAGUGUUUGCAGGAGGUAGAGCGACUGGAUGGGCGCGGGGGGUCGAAGACCCUACCAACCCCAACCAAACUCCGAAUACCUGCUAAAUGAAUCCUGGGAGGCAGUCGCUGAGCGAUAAUGUCCAGCGGCGAGAGGGAAAGAACCCAGAACCACAGCUAAGGCCCCAAAGUGGCCGCUAAGUAUAGCGAAGGAUGUGAACGUGCCGUGACAACUGGGAGGUUGGCUUAGAAGCAGCCAUUCCUUGAAAGAGUGCGUAAUAGCUCACCAGUCCAGCGUGUUUGCGCCGAGAAUGGUCGGGAUUAAGCGGCCCGCCGAAGCUUGGUCUUCAUACUAUGUAUGAGGGGUAGGGGAGCGUUCCCAUCUGCAUUGAAGCGACCGUGGAAACGAGUCGUGGAGCGUUGGGAAGUGAGGAUGCCGGAAUGAGUACGCGCGAAUCAAAGUGAAAACCUUUGACACCGAAAACCCAAGGAUUCCUGCGCCAUGGCAAUCAGCGCAGGGUGAGGCGGACCCUAAGGCGAGGCCCCAGAGGCGUAGUCGAUGGACAGCCGGUUAACAUUCCGGCCCCGCCAGUUGCACGUUAUUACCCCAGGAGGGACCCUGGAACGAAUGGGCAGCGGUCUUGUGGAUUGACCGUCUAACCGCGUAGGCGCAAGCCGAGACGGGAAUGUAAGGAUGCGGGGCAACCCAAAUCCAAUUGCUCAAUAGUAGACAGGCAAGAAAAGCUUCUGUGGGGAGUUCAACUGUGCGUCCGUACCGUAAACCGACACAGGUGGGUGAGGCGAGUAGCCUAAGGUGAACGAGUGAAACGUGGUCAAGGAACUCGGCAUAAUGAUCCCGUAACUUCGGAAGAAGGGAUGCCCUUUUCGGUAUCCAUUUUUACAGUGGAUGCUGAGGAGGGCCGCAGAUAAUCGGCUCAAGCGACUGUUUAGCAAAAACACAGGUGAGUGCCAAGCCGCACAAGGCGCCGUAUACUCACUGACGCCUGCCCGGUGCCGGAAGGUUAAGGGGAGGGAUUAUCCCGUAAGGGAGAAGUCCUGAGCCGAAGCCCCGGUAAACGGCGGCCGUAACUAUAACGGUCCUAAGGUAGCGAAAUUCCUUGUCGGGUAAGUUCCGACCUGCACGAAUGGCGUAACGACUUGAGCACUGUCUCGACCACGUGCUC
rnacentral:rRNA from 1 species